ensembl:lncRNA
UGGAUGGACAAGAGGAGUAUUAUAACCUGCUCUUGGUAACAGGCUGUCAUCAAUUACCUCUCUCCUGUACAGGUCAACAGGGGAGCAAAGAAUUCAAAGGCAUCGCUGUAGCCAGCAAGAUCUAAACCUCAAUCAUGUCAUUGAUCCACCCUCAAAUGCCCUUUCCUGCGAGUUCCUCAAGGAUACAAUGAGCUACUCAUGCUGCAGGAGGCCAGCCGGUGCUGAAGGGGAGUGCCUCGCCUGCCAUCCAUCCAUGCCUCUCAGAACAUUGUGAGUUUAUUGAAAGGAGUAAAGAUGCUUUACCUUUACGGUAUCAAAGAACAUACUGGAGACAAAUGUUUCUCUACUUACUUGUGUGCCAGCCGUCAUGAGAGGCAAUAUUCUCUGAGAUCCACACCCCAGAUUCCUGCUUGGGUGUUUGGCUCCCCACGUGUAGGAGGUUCCCACCUCCAUCAGUGGGAGCUGAAACAUGCCAGACUAAUGAUUCUAGAUGCUGAAGGUCUUUUUGUAAUGUCACAUGCACUGUAAUAGACACAACAAGAUCCAGUAUAAUCACCAUCUUGGUAACAAGAAGGAAGAUGUAUGGAAGGACGUGAGAAGGAAAUUACACCCACUCUUGGACUCAGGUGUGUGUGAGAGUGGAGGAACCUUUUGGAAGGCUCCAUGCGCAUCCAGCCUGCACACUGAGCCCACCUAUUUCAGACCAACUCAAUUUGUUUCUAUUAAUUAAGUGCUCAAAAGGAGACUUCAGUGAUGCACCAACUGUAUUCCACCUCUCUGCAGAGGAGUCAAGCAGCCUACAUUUAAAAAGCAAAAGCAAGCAAAAACACCAGAACAAGAAUUUUUAAUUUCAAGUUUACAUUAGUUAUGAUUUUAUGUGAGUAUUUGCAUAGGAAAUAUAUUGUUUGCAGAGAUGUUUCUUUUGGGACCUUAAUGUAUGUAAAAUCUCAAACAAAUGCAAAUCUGAAGAAGCCCUGUCAUUCGCAAGCUUCUGCAGGCAUUUUAAUACCUUUGUGAGAAACCAAUGCCAUACAGCAUGCUCUGUAGUUACCCCUGAGAUAUUAUUUGGGCACCAAGCAAGUCCAGUCUGGACCUGGAGCCAUCAGCCACUACGUUGCUAUCACCUUGGAAUUAGGCAGCUUAUAACAGGUAGAGAUUUCAGCCACUAGAUAGGUAAAGGCAAUUCUUAAGUGCCCAUUUCCAUGUUUGUCCUCCGAAGCACCUAAUAACAAUGCAAAGCUGGUGGUGGAGCCAGGACAGACAUCUACUCCAUGAGAAAGAAUUGCUGGGAUUCAUGCCCCAGGAGCAUACGGAUAAGAAGUUUUGCUGGUCAGCUCAUGAGCAAAUACUCGUGCUAGCAAGUGGUUGGUGAAAGCUGCAAAAAGUACUCUCUGAUAAAACUCAAGAGCUCUUGGAUACAGGGCUCCAUCUAUCAGGAUAAGCUUCUCCUAAAGCCUGAACCUACACAUGGGAGAUGGAGAGUGCUUGUUUUCAAUGUGGGAGAAGAUUUUCCCCCUUCCAGCAGCUCUCAGUCAGCAGCUUCAGCCUACCUGCUCUACAGGAGAAGGACGUUGAACAAGAGCAGACAGGAGCUCCUUCCCCUCCACCAGCAAACAGAAUCCCUGCUGAGGAGAGCUGAUUCUCAGUGAAGAAGCAGAGGAAGAGCGGUGCGCAUAGAGAGCAGGGUGGCAGCAGGCCAGGGGAGCAUGCACUGGUCUGCAGCACCACUUUGUCUGGUGAACAGCUUCCCCUUAAGAAGAAAAUCCCUCCUGCUGCCCCUGCCUCCCAAUCACAACCAGGAGCAGCACUUUAAGGUAUGACACUAGGGAGAACAGGCAGACAGACAGAGGGACAGGUGGUCAGGGCCACAGGUCAGCAGCCCAUCUCUCAGCUGUGCCAACUGAGCGCAGCUCGCUGCAAUGCAGGGCCCAUGUGAGGCAGCAGCAAUGCCAUCUGUGCGGCUGCGCAAAACUUCUUGGAAGAACUUGUGCUCAACACCUUUCAUGGAGAGCAG